rnacentral:rRNA from 1 species
GAACACGUGAAAUUCCGUCGGAAUCCGGGAGGACCAUCUCCCAAGGCUAAAUACUCCCUAGUGACCGAUAGUGAACCAGUACCGUGAGGGAAAGGUGAAAAGCACCCCGGAAGGGGAGUGAAACAGUUCCUGAAACCGUGUGCCUACAAGUAGUUAGAGCCCGUUAAUGGGUGAUAGCGUGCCUUUUGUAGAAUGAACCGGCGAGUUACGAUUUGUUGCAAGGUUAAGCGGAAAAAGCGGAGCCGUAGCGAAAGCGAGUCUGAAUAGGGCGCAUAAGUAACAGGUCGUAGACCCGAAACCAGGUGAUCUACCCAUGUCCAGGAUGAAGGUAAGGUAAUACUUACUGGAGGUCCGAACCCACGCACGUUGAAAAGUGCGGGGAUGAGGUGUGGGUAGCGGAGAAAUUCCAAUCGAACUUGGAGAUAGCUGGUUCUCUCCGAAAUAGCUUUAGGGCUAGCCUCGAGGUAAAGAGUCAUGGAGGUAGAGCACUGUUUGGACUAGGGGCCCUUCUCGGGUUACCGAAUUCAGAUAAACUCCGAAUGCCAUGUACUUAUACUCGGGAGUCAGACUGCGAGUGAUAAGAUCCGUAGUCGAAAGGGAAACAGCCCAGACCACCAGUUAAGGUCCCCAAAUAUAUGUUAAGUGGAAAAGGAUGUGGGGUUGCUUAGACAACCAGGAUGUUGGCUUAGAAGCAGCCACCAUUGAAAGAGUGCGUAAUAGCUCACUGGUCGAGUGACCCCGCGCCGAAAAUGUACCGGGGCUAAACAUAUUACCGAAACUGUGGAUGAACCUCUUUAGAGGUUCGUGGUAGGAGAGCGUUCUAAGGGCGGUGAAGUCAGACCGGAAGGACUGGUGGAGCGCUUAGAAGUGAGAAUGCCGGUAUGAGUAGCGAAAGAAGGGUGAGAAUCCCUUCCACCGAAUAUCUAAGGUUUCCUGAGGAAGGCUCGUCCGCUCAGGGUUAGUCGGGACCUAAGCCGAGGCCGAUAGGCGUAGGCGAUGGACAACAGGUAGAGAUUCCUGUACCAGUGCUAAUUGUUUAACCGAUGGGGUGACACAGAAGGAUAGGGAAUCGCACGAAUGGAAAUGUGCGUCCAAGCAGUGAGUGUGAGAAGUAGGCAAAUCCGCUUCUCGCGAAGCAUGAGCUGUGAUGGGGAAGGAAAUUAAGUACGGAAGUUCCUGAUUUCACGCUGUCAAGAAAAGCCUCUAGGAAGAGUAGUACUGCCCGUACCGCAAACCGACACAGGUAGAUGAGGAGAGAAUCCUAAGGUGAGCGAGAGAACUCUCGUUAAGGAACUCGGCAAAAUGACCCCGUAACUUCGGGAGAAGGGGUGCUCUAUUAGGGUGCAAGCCCGAGAGAGCCGCAGUGAAUAGGCCCAGGCGACUGUUUAGCAAAAACACAGGUCUCUGCAAAACCGUAAGGUGACGUAUAGGGGCUGACGCCUGCCCGGUGCUGGAAGGUUAAGAGGAGUGCUUAGCUUCGGCGAAGGUACGAAUUGAAGCCCCAGUAAACGGCGGCCGUAACUAUAACGGUCCUAAGGUAGCGAAAUUCCUUGUCGGGUAAGUUCCGACCCGCACGAAAGGCGCAACGAUCUGGGCACUGUCUCAACGAGAGACUCGGUGAAAUUAUAGUACCUGUGAAGAUGCAGGUUACCCGCGACAGGACGGAAAGACCCCGUGGAGCUUUACUGCAACCUGAUAUGGAAUGUUUGUACCGCUUGUACAGGAUAGGUAGGAGCCGAAGAGACGUGUGCGCUAGCAUACGAGGAGGCAAUGGUGGGAUACUACCCUGGCUGUAUGACCAUUCUAACCCGCCACGCUUAGCGCGUGGGGAGACAGUGUCAGGUGGGCAGUUUGACUGGGGCGGUCGCCUCCUAAAGAGUAACGGAGGCGCCCAAAGGUUCCCUCAGAAUGGAUGGAAAUCAUUCGCAGAGUGUAAAGGCACAAGGGAGCUUGACUGCGAGACUGACAAGUCGAGCAGGGACGAAAGUCGGGCUUAGUGAUCCGGUGGUUCCGCAUGGAAGGGCCAUCGCUCAACGGAUAAAAGCUACCCCGGGGAUAACAGGCUUAUCUCCCCCAAGAGUCCACAUCGACGGGGAGGUUUGGCACCUCGAUGUCGGCUCGUCGCAUCCUGGGGCUGUAGUCGGUCCCAAGGGUUGGGCUGUUCGCCCAUUAAAGCGGCACGCGAGCUGGGUUCAGAACGUCGUGAGACAGUUCGGUCCCUAUCCGUCGCGGGCGCAGGAAAUUUGAGAGGAGCUGUCCUUAGUACGAGAGGACCGGGAUGGACACACCGCUGGUGUACCAGUUGUUCCGCCAGGAGCAUCGCUGGGUAGCUAUGUGUGGCAGGGAUAAACGCUGAAAGCAUCUAAGCGUGAAGCCCCCCUCAAGAUGAGAUUUCCCAUUUCUUCGGAAAGUAAGAUCCCUGAAAGAUGAUCAGGUAGAUAGGUUUGGAGUGGAAGUGUAGCGAUACAUGGAGCGGACAAAUAC